UACGAAGGGGGCUAGCGUUGUUCGGAAUUACUGGGCGUAAAGCGCGCGCAGGCGGUCUUCCAAGUCAGUGGUGAAAGCCCGGAGCUCAACUCCGGAACUGCCAUUGAAACUGUGAGACUUGAGGAUGAGAGAGGUGAGUGGAAUUCCCAGUGUAGAGGUGAAAUGCGCAGAUAUCAGGAAGAACACCAAUGGCGAAGGCAGCUCUCUGGGACGGUACUGACGCUGAGACGCGAAAGCGUGGGGAGCGAACAGG
rnacentral:rRNA from 1 species